rnacentral:rRNA from 1 species
UACGUAGGUGGCAAGCGUUUGUCCGGAAUUAUUGGGCGUAAAGCGCGCGCAGGCGGUCCUUUAAGUCUGAUGUGAAAGCCCACGGCUCAACCGUGGAGGGUCAUUGGAAACUGGGGGACUUGAGUGCAGAAGAGAAAAGCGGAAUUCCACGUGUAGCGGUGAAAUGCGUAGAGAUGUGGAGGAACACCAGUGGCGAAGGCGGCUUUCUGGUCUGUAACUGACGCUGAGGCGCGAAAGCGUGGGGAGCAAACAGG